rnacentral:rRNA from 1 species
CUAGGAAUCUUGGGAAUGGGCGAAAGCCUGACCCAGCAACGCCGCGUGGGCGAUGAAGGCCUUCGGGUCGUAAAGCCCUUUUGAGGGGGAAGAUGAUGACGGUACCCCUCGAAUAAGCCACGGCUAACUACGUGCCAGCAGCCGCGGUAAUACGUAGGUGGCAAGCGUUGUCCGGAUUUACUGGGCGUAAAGGGCGUGCAGGCGGUUUGUUAAGUCUAGGGUGAAAGCUCCCGGCUCAACUGGGAGAGGUCCUUGGAUACUGGCAGACUUGAGGAGAGUAGAGGAGAGUGGAAUUCCCGGUGUAGUGGUGAUAUGCGUAGAUAUCGGGAGGAACACCAGUGGCGAAGGCGGCUCUCUGGGCUCUACCUGACGCUGAGACGCGAAAGCGUGGGGAGCGAACCGGAUUAGAUACCCCUGUAGUCCCUGAGCGGGCUGGCAAGGCGCAU